rnacentral:lncRNA from 1 species
UUCGGACGAAAUUCGCUUACAGUAGAAGUCCAGAGUAGACCGCUUGCAGUAGAAGUUUGAAGUAGACUGCUUGCGGUAGAAGUUCGGAGUAGACCGUUUACAGUAGAAGUUUGGCUGAAAUUCGGAAGGCAGUCGACCAUCGUAGAAAUUUGGAUGGGGUCUGGUUACUAUAGAAGUCCUGCUGCUAAAGAAGCUCGAUCAUUGAUGAAGUUCGAAAGAAGUUUGGAGUAAAGUCGAUCAUGGCUGGAAGAAGUCUGGAAGAGAUUUGGAGAGUAGUUGAUCACUGUAGAAAAUCGGCUGAUAGUGAAGCCCAGAGAGCAUUUGGAGCGGUCCGAUAAAUG